GCACCCGUAGCUCAACGGAUAGAGCGCUGGUCUUCGGAACCAGUAAUGGGGGUUCGAUUCCCUCCGGGUGCACCA
rnacentral:tRNA from 1 species